GGUCCAAUAGCUCAGUUGGAUAGAGCAACAGCCUUCUAAGCUGUGGGCCGGGAGUUCGAGUCUCUCUUGGAUCACCA
rnacentral:tRNA from 2 species